UGAUGAUUCAUGCACGGAAAGUAGACUAAAAUAGUGAGUCUCAACGUAAGCAAUUAAGGGAGACAGAAGAUACAAAUUAGUCUAGCGGUGGUGUUCGAGGAAUAGAGAGACAGAGAGAGCGGAGGGGGGAGGGCAGUUUUAUCCUCCUCAUUCCCCUUCUACUUCUCUGAUCUAUGUCGAGAUGUAGGAAACUGCUGAUUGAGGAGGAGAAGGAGAAGGAGAUCUCAGCCAUAGUUGAUUUGAUCGGUGAAGAGAUUCGACAACUUUGCUGGAGAAUAGAAGCAGUCAUCGAAUUUAUAAGAGUGAUUGAAUAGAUUGAACCAGUAGCAACGGUUGCGACGAUCGACGACCUUGGGUUGAGGCACAAGGUUGGCUUGACGACUCGGCUCUGGUUUGCAGGACGCUAUGUUCUGCAAAAGCACCAUAAACACAGCAAUCGCAGCAUCCGUCGCAGCCGCACCGGCGGCAGAAACAAGCGGUGUCGUUUUAGCCUUGGGAUGGCUGAAGACGUCGUCGGGAUUCCUAGGUGCCUUGGAUUUCCUGAACCGAAGUAGCAAAUAAUCUUCAGAAAGACAGCAUCAGGAUGUGUACAAAGGUACGGGGAAUAUAUAUUAUAUCAUGAUAGUUCCUAAGGCAAAUCCAAAACAAGCUUGCUCCUCACUUUUGGCAUCACCUACCAUUUGGGGUUCUUCAACAACUCCAUCUGGGUCCUGCUUUUGGGUUUCCUCAACUAUAUGAACUGAAGUGUUCUCUUUCAAUUGUCGUUUAUAGAGUUAGAAUCUAAGUUCUAGCCCCUCGUCAUUUGAUUUCUUGUUUAAAUCAAAACAACACUUUCUCUUCUGAAUUUCCACAUCAAAAUUCCCUAAACCACACUCUUUUUUAGUCUACUCAAAAUUCGCAUUCAAAUUGAGAUCAAUUGCAUGUAUUUUUCUUUGAACAUUGAAAUUUUAUAUUAUAUCCCUCGCUUAAAUUAACCCUCACCCAAAAAAAAAAAAAAAUCAAUCCAACAUUUAACCCCAAUACAAUCACUAGAACUCAUCAAAUGCCCCAUAGCUGAAACAGUAUCUUCCAAGAACCCCUUUUGGCUCGGACCAUCUCUCUUCACCACUGUCAAACAACUUUUACUUGUGAAAUUCGUCGAAUUUAUGUUUUCUAGAAUUGGCAAGAAGAUGGCGCCAUUUCUUCGGCUUCCAGAAGAUUAGAUUAGAACUUAGAAGCACCAGCACCAGAUUGAUCAUUGAUCAAAAUUCUCAUCCCUAUUCCAUGUAAAAGUGAAGCAACCUUAGAUAAUUUCAAUUCCUCGGAAUCUCAUGCCAUGGCCUUGCCUACAUGACACCACCUAGGGAACAAGAUAAAGGCGACAUCCAAGAAAACUAAUAAAGUCAUCCACUACUGACAACCAAAGAAAAGAUUGAUGGUGAUCAUUCCCUUGUUCUUUGGGGCCUACUUAAUGGAUGGCUUUAUUAGUUUUCUUGUCCACUUACCUUUCCCCUGCACACUAGGUUGAGGAGGUGGAAUUAUUGAAGUUGCUUUAUUUUUUCAUGUAGUGGGAAUGAGGACAAGAAUCGUGAUCAAUGAUCAAUCUUUUACUGGUUUUUCUAAGUUCGAACUCACAAAUGAGCCUUGAGUUUCUAGAAGCCCAAGGAACGUCGUCUUCUUCUUGUCGAUGCAAGUGACAAAUUUUGCUAGUUCAUGAGUGAAAGUUGCUAGGUGAGGAGAUUAUUCUAAGGAUUAUUCAAGCCAAAAGGUUUAGGGUACUGUUUUAGCUAUGGGGAAUUUGAGUUCCACCGACUAUAAUGGGUUAAGGUGGAUAAUGUGUUGAAUUUAACUAGGGGAAAAUAAUUUAAGCUAGGGAUUUGAUUCAAACUUUCAUUCUAAAGAACAACGUCCAAGGAAAAAUGCAUGCAUUGAUCUCAAUUUGGAUGAGAAUGGUGAUUUUGAAGUAAACUUAAGAAAAAGAUAAUUUAGGAAAUCUUAAUGUGGAAACUCAGAAGAGAAAGUGUUGUUUUGAUUUAAACAUGAAAUCAGAUGGCGAGAACUAGAACUUAGAUUCUAACAAUAAACGACAAUUGAAAGAGAACACUUCAGUUUAUGUAGUUGAGGAAACCCAAUAGCAAGGCACAAAUCGAGUUGUUGAGAAACCCCCAAUGGUAAGUGAUGCUAAAAGUGGGGAGCAAACUUGUUUUGGAUUUGUUGUAGGAAUCGUCAGGAUACAAUAUUUGACCAGUCUUGAGAUGGUAACCUCAACAAACGCCUCAUCAUUUUGCUGCUGCUAAUGCUUCAUCUCCCCUGGACCUCAUGCAACACAGUGUUUCAGUUCUUCCACCUGUUUACACGUAAAAUUAUACAGGACAGGUUUUCCCCAUAUUCCUAAGCAUCAAAGGAUCCGCACAGAAGAAAUCUCCACGUGCCAUACGACUGUGUAUUGCCUUGCAGCAUCUUUCCCAAACAGCAGAGCUACUCCCCUAGGCAGUUACCUCAACCUCCCACUUCAAUUUUAUGCUGCUUAUUCAAGUCCAACAACUAUUUAUUCUAGAGACUCAGGCCAAUUGAUCUCUCCCCCAAAUAGAGGCACAAGUUCUCCCGUACAACGACGAACUCUUCCCCGAACAGCAGCCUGCUACUUGCUUCCCAGCUCGCAGACCAAGUUCCUUGCCUGGCUCUACCAGAACUUGAGCUUCCCACUUAAUAAAUUUUAAUUGUUGUAUAUUUCCAGCAACAACACAAUUAGAACUCUUUAUGCCUCAAAAUUUGUAAUUGGAGUUCUUGAGUUCUCUAGCUUUCUCUUGUUUUCUUGUUUUACCUUCUUGUAUUGAUUUUUUCAGUGGUUAGGUGUGGUCCAAGGAGAAGGCUGAUUUAACCAAUUAAAGCCAACAUAGUUGGUUUGGUGAGUUCCAAGGCCUACAACUGGGCCGUGAGAAUUGAAUGAAUAAUUCCAGGUUGCGUGGGCGUUGAACCCAUGAAGCAUCUUGGAUCUCUGCUUGCUUGUAAUGGCCAGUCGCCAUGCUUGUGGUUGCCCGCGCGCUUGUAGCUGCACCAUUUCAUAACUCUUUGCUCUUACAGUAGAGGAUUUUUGGAAGAAUUUUUGGAUAUCAAAAUUAUUUUGUUCGCGCUUUAUUCAAAAUCUCCUGAAAAUAGAGAAUUUAUUACACAAGUUUUGAGAGGACACAAUUCUCGGAACUUGAUUAUAGUUUAUGAACCCAUGCUCGAGAGAUAUAAUUUGAGACGUUUUGUAUUUUCGAGAGACAUUCAAUCUCUUGGACAUCAUUUUGGGGCCAAAAUGAUGCUUUAGACAUUUGGACUUUUUUAU